GCUCAGGAUGAACGCUAGCUACAGGCUUAACACAUGCAAGUCGAGGGGUAGCAGGGUAGCAAUACCGCUGACGACCGGCGCACGGGUGAGUAACACGUAUCCAACCUUCCCAUAACUCGGGGAUAGCCUUUCGAAAGAAAGAUUAAUACCCGAUAGUACUUAUAUAAGGCAUCUUAAAUAAGUUAAAGAUUUAUUGGUUAUGGAUGGGGAUGCGUUCCAUUAGAUAGUUGGUGAGGUAACGGCUCACCAAGUCUUCGAUGGAUAGGGGUUCUGAGAGGAAGGUCCCCCACACUGGUACUGAGACACGGACCAGACUCCUACGGGAGGCAGCAGUGAGGAAUAUUGGUCAAUGGGCGAGAGCCUGAACCAG
rnacentral:rRNA from 1 species